CAGUCGCCGCGGUAAUACGAAGGGUGCAAGCGUUACUCGGAAUUACUGGGCGCAAAGCGUGCGUAGGUGGUGGUUUAAGUCCGUUGUGAAAGCCCUGGGCUCAACCUGGGAAUUGCAGUGGAUACUGGGUCACUAGAGUGUGGUAGAGGAUAGUGGAAUUUCCGGUGUAGCAGUGAAAUGCGUAGAGAUCGGAAGGAACAUCUGUGGCGAAGGCGACUAUCUGGGCCAACACUGACACUGAGGCACGAAAGCGUGGGGAGCAAACAGGAUUAGAUACCCCCGUAGUCCCUGUCUCUUAUAC
rnacentral:rRNA from 1 species